rnacentral:rRNA from 1 species
UACGUAGGAGGCAAGCGUUGUCCGGAAUUACUGGGUGUAAAGCGCGUGUAGGCGGCAGGCCAAGUCUGUGGUGAAAUCGCUCGGCUCAACUGGGCGGGGUCCAUGGAAACUGGUCAGCUGGAGGACGGUAGAGGUGAGUGGAAUUCCCGGUGUAGCGGUGAAAUGCGUAGAGAUUGGGAAGAACACCGGUGGCGAAAGCGCUCUACUGGGCCUGCACUGACACUGAGGGACGAAAGCUAGGGGAGCGAAAGGG